rnacentral:rRNA from 1 species
UACGGGGGGGGCAAGCGUUGUUCGGAAUUACUGGGCGUAAAGGGCGCGUAGGCGGCGCGGGCAGUCAACGGUGAAAGCUCGGGGCUCAACCCCGAGUCGGCCGUCGAUACUCCCGUGCUCGAGCACUGUAGAGGCAGGUGGAAUUCCGGGUGUAGCGGUGGAAUGCGUAGAGAUCCGGAAGAACACCGGUGGCGAAGGCGGCCUGCUGGGCAGUAGCUGACGCUGAUGCGCGAAAGCGUGGGGAGCGAACAGG